rnacentral:rRNA from 1 species
CCUACGUGCGGCAGCAGUCGGGAAUAUUGCGCAAUGGAGGAAACUCUGACGCAGUGACGCCGCGUAUAGGAAUAAGUUUUUCGGAAUCUAAACUAUCGUCGUUCGGGAAGAGAUAGGACAGUACCUAAGGAGGAAGCUCCGGCUAACUACGUGCCAGCAGCCGCGGUAAUACGGAGGGAGCGAGCGUUAUCCGGAAUUAUUGGGUGUAAAGGGUGCGUAUACGGGAAAGCAAGUUAGCUGGGAAAUCGCUCGGCUUAACUGAGGAACUGCAACUAAAACUAUUUGUCUUGAGUGCAGGAGAGGUAAGUGGAAUUCCUGGUGUAGCGGUGAAAUGCGUAGAUAUUAGGAGGAACACCAGUGGCGAAGGCGACUUACUGGACUGUAACUGACGUUGAGGCACGAAAGUGUGGGGAGCAAACAGGAUUAGAUACCCUAGUAGUC